rnacentral:rRNA from 1 species
UACGUAGGGGACGAGCGUUGUCCGGAAUUAUUGGGCGUAAAGAGCGUGUAGGCGGCUCUGCAAGUCCGGCGUGAAAUCUCGAGGCUCAACCUCGAGCGGUCGUGGGAAACUGGAGGGCUAGAGUGCGGGAGAGGGAAGUGGAAUUCCAGGUGUAGCGGUGAAAUGCGUAGAUAUCUGGAGGAAUACCGGUGGCGAAGGCGGCAUCCUGGACCAUUACUGACGCUGAGGCGCGAAAGCUAGGGGAGCAAACGGG